CAGACCGUCCCACAGCAACCGGUUUCCAAGCUUCUAUCAGAACUCUCUCUUUUUCUUCCGUGGUAAACAGAAUCUGCAAAAGCUGUUGGCAGUCUUCCCAAGUGGACUGUUGGUUAUCUGAGGUGCAUCCUUCUGAGGGAAAGCUACCUGACAGGACCAGUUUCUCCACUUCAUACCUUCUCCCACUCCGUGCUCUUCUGAAGGCAGACACUGUACAUAGCCACACAGUGGGACUGUGCACCACCUCCUCCGGGCAAUGUAGUUACAGAAACGAGUGGGACUGUGCGCCACCUCCUCCAGGCAAUGUAGUUACAGAAACGAGUGGGACUGUGCGCCACAUUCUCCGGGCAAUGUAGUUACAGAAACGAGUGGGACUGUGCGCCACAUUCUCCGGGCAAUGUAGUUACAGGAACGAGUGGGACUGUGCACCACCUCCUCCGGGCAAAGCAGCUACAGAAACUGUUUGUAAUUUUUAUGCAUGGAGGAUUUUCCUUUUCUCCCCAUUUUAUUUAUUUUUUUAAGUCAUUUGUUUAAAUCAGAAUGGACUCCAAAUUUAACACAGUUUGUUUUUAAAAGAGCAAUUUGCUAUUUUCCCCCCAUGGGUAAAACUGGAAAGGAUGCUAAAAUAAACAUCAUGAACAAAA